rnacentral:rRNA from 1 species
UGGGGAAUUUUGGACAAUGGGGGAAACCCUGAUCCAGCCAUCCCGCGUGUGCGAUGAAGGCCUUCGGGUUGUAAAGCACUUUUGGCAGGAAAGAAACGUCGCGGGUUAAUACCCCGCGGAACUGACGGUACCUGCAGAAUAAGCACCGGCUAACUACGUGCCAGCAGCCGCGGUAAUACGUAGGGUGCAAGCGUUAAUCGGAAUUACUGGGCGUAAAGCGUGCGCAGGCGGUUCGGAAAGAAAGAUGUGAAAUCCCAGAGCUUAACUUUGGAACUGCAUUUUUAACUACCGGGCUAGAGUGUGUCAGAGGGAGGUGGAAUUCCGCGUGUAGCAGUGAAAUGCGUAGAUAUGCGGAGGAACACCGAUGGCGAGGCAGCCUCCUGGGAUAACACUGACGCUCAUGCACGAAAGCGUGGGGAGCAAACAGGAUUAGAUACCCUGGUAGUCCACGCCCUAAACGAUGUCAACUAGCUGUUGGGGUCUUCGGACCUUGGUAGCGCAGCUAACGCGUGAAGUUGACCG